AGCGUGAUAACAGAUUAACACUCGCCUUCAACGCAAUAACAGAGCAGUACCAAAACACGCUCAGCAGUAAACACAAGCACUACACAAACCCAGAGAAAGCGCAGCGCCGACUUAGCUGAUGGCCUGACGGAGACAGAGGGUGAGGGAUUGUGGAUGGAGGAGGCCUGUGUCGUGGUGCCAGUGUCAUCUUGGCAGGUGCAGGAACCAGGAGGAGAUUCCUGAGAGGGAACCUGGACAGGGCCAGGUUGGAUGAGGCUGGCGGACUGGAGAUAUGGCAGGAGGCAGACAGCGUGGGCAGGAAAGGUCAUGGAACUGAAGCACAAGGAAAAACUGUUGGUGACCACCCACCUGCUCUGCCAGCCCUCCAGAUCGCCACACAACUGCCAUCCAGCUUGGUUCUGCUGGAUCUUCGUUUCCAAAGCCACAGCUGGCCUGCACCAACUGAUUAUAACAUUCCAGCUGUAAUGCUGUGUCUGCCACGCUUCAUCCACAUUCAAACAAAUGUGUGCCAUUUGUUCCUCGCUUUAGACAAAAGCAUCUGACCAAUAUGUAGCUACCUAUAUGUAGUGGAACUAAAUCGAAUUUAAAUACAUUUGAAUGUGUAGAGUGUAUACUCAGAUGAGUUGUGUGAUGAAUGUUUUUGCUACAUCCAGCCUGUGAUGUGAUGAAGUGCUACUGUGUCUGUAUUGUUUCAG
ensembl:lncRNA